GAAAAGUUAGCUAUUGGUAAAGCGAGUUACUUGCUAUGUAAUGAAUUAUUAUUCUUAUGAGUUCGAUUCUCAUACUUUUCG